UACGGGGGGAGCAAGCGUUGUUCGGAUUUACUGGGCGUAAAGGGCGCGUAGGCGGCCACUGCAAGUCAGUUGUGAAAUCUCCGGGCUUAACCCGGAAAGGUCAGCUGAUACUGCAGGGCUAGAGUGCAGAAGGGGCAACUGGAAUUCUCGGUGUAGCGGUGAAAUGCGUAGAUAUCAGGAGGAAUACCGAUGGCGAAGGCAGGUCUCUGGGCUGACACUGACGCUCAUGCACGAAAGCGUGGGGAGCAAACAGG
rnacentral:rRNA from 1 species